AAAUUGAGAGCAUCUUGUACCCUCCUAAUCCGAUUUGUUGAUUACUGAUUCCGGGUAACCCAACAAGAAUAAAUUCAUAAAUACAAGCUACAGAUGCAUGGGUGCUGUCAUAAUGUAACUGUUUGAGACUAUACCGCAGUGGCAGUACCUUCAAAGAAUCAAAGCAAAUGAGAAUGGAAAUAAAACAUAAUUUCCAAAGCUAAAAACAUUAUCUGGAGUCUGUGGUGCCAAAGAUGAGCAAAAAAU
rnacentral:misc_RNA from 1 species